rnacentral:rRNA from 1 species
AGAGUUUGAUCCUGGCUCAGGAUGAACGCUAGCUACAGGCUUAACACAUGCAAGUCGAGGGGCAGCAUGUUGGCUGCUUGCAACCAAUGAUGGCGACCGGCGCACGGGUGAGUAACGCGUAUCCAACCUACCCUUGUCCAUCGGAUAACCCGUCGAAAGGCGGCCUAACACGAUAUGCGGUUCUCAGCAGGCAUCUAACGAGAACGAAAUGUGAAGGAGAAGGAUGGGGAUGCGUCUGAUUAGGCUUGUUGGCGGGGUAACGGCCACCAAGGCGACGAUCAGUAGGGGUUCUGAGAGAAAGGUCCCCCANAUUGGAACUGAGACACGGUCCAAACUCCGUACGGGAGCA